GUUCAUGAAGAUGGCGUGUGCUGGCUGUCAAUGGUACUAAGUGGCUCCUGUAGUCGAGAUAGGCCACGGGAAGCUGUGACCUUCCUCCCACCUCCACGUGACGGUGGGUUACAGGUGUGCCUCCUGCCAAGGCCCUGCCGGCGAUUACACACCCGGACCCGCCUUGGGAAAGCAUCCUAAGGUCCCGGUCCACCAGCAGCCUGGAGGCAGGGCGGGAGCACGAGAUGGGAUCUCUCGCGGGCUGUGAGAAAUUCUCAGAGGAAAAUAAUCAAAAAGAAAACAGAAGAGAGGACUCAAAGGCACAAGAGGCUGGUUCCUGACACGGCCUUACAGUCUUCCGUGGCCCCUGUGAGCAGGCACAGUGAUGCUCGUGGUGCCUGUGGCCUUGGCUCAUCCGACAGCAUCCUCCACCUGCAGGGCUGAUGGUAAGCUGAUGCACCUGAGACCCAAGGGGCAGGCAAAGGGAAGGACAGAGGAGAGGAAGCGACCACCCUGGAGAUGUUCAUUGUCUCAUUGAGUCCUGACUGUGUGGGUGGUCACCCCACUUUACAGAGGGGGACUGUGGCUCCGCGGGGCAGCUGGCCUUGUUCCAGGCUACAUGGACAGUGAAAGCAGGAAGACACUGAUACAGCGUCUUCUGAAUCCUGGUUGCUUUCACAUGGACGCCGUAUUUCACCAGCAAACACAAGAAGAGAAACCCUAGGGGAGACAUUUUCUUCCUGUUUUCCAGAUGUGCACACCAAGGCUUAGGGAGCGGGCGGCUUAUCCAGGGGUGGCGCUGGAGCCAGGCUUGCCGGCCUCGGGCAUAAACUCGCCCAGCACCAGCCUCCCGUACUAGGCUCUGACGUGCCCUCUCGGGGAGCAGAAGGCAACACUGGGCCCUUUGACAGGAUUUCCGUGGGCGCGACCGGGCGCCCCAAGCAUGGCAGCCGGCGCGGAGGGGAGGCACGGUUUAUUUUUCCUGCGGGCCGCUCUGGAGCCUUUCAAAGGUGUGAGCUCCGUGGCCUGCAGAGGCUGACGCUGCUGGGCACCUCGAGCUGGCCCUGUCCUCCCCGACCACAGGCCCCCGCCUCCUGCGCCACGGGCCCGGGUGCGGGGACUCCCUCCGGCCUGCAUGCCCUCUCACUCACGGAAAGGCUGCAGAGUGACAGGCCGGAAACUCCACUCUGGUGUUUACUCAACA
rnacentral:lncRNA from 1 species